rnacentral:rRNA from 1 species
UACGUAGGGUGCGAGCGUUUGUCCGGAAUUAUUGGGCGUAAAGGGCUCGUAGGCGGUCUGUCACGUCGGGAGUGAAAACACGGGGCUUAACCCCGUGCCUGCUUCCGAUACGGGCAGACUAGAGGUAUGCAGGGGAGAACGGAAUUCCUGGUGUAGCGGUGAAAUGCGCAGAUAUCAGGAGGAACACCGAUGGCGAAGGCAGGUCUCUGGGCCACUACUGACGCUGAGAAGCGAAAGCAUGGGGAGCGAACGGG